rnacentral:misc_RNA from 1 species
AAGUCGUAACAAGGUUUCCGUAGGUGAACCUGCGGAAGGAUCAUUGGAAGUGGGGGUGGAGAGAGAGUUGGAACGAUAAAAUGAUAAUUCUUUAUUUAACCAAUACAAUACAACUGCUGACAAUGGAUCUCUGGGCUCUU